CCUACGGGAGGCAGCAGUCGGGAAUCUUGCGCAAUGGAGGAAAGUCUGACGGAGUGACGCCGCGUAUAGGAAGAAGUUUUUCGGAAUGUAAACUAUUGUUGGUAGGGAAGAGAAAGGAAAGUACCUAAGGAGCAAGCUUCGGCGAAAUACGUUCCAGCAGCCGCGGUAAUACGUAGGGCGCGAGCGUUGUCCUGAAUUAUGGGGUGGACAGGGUGCGUAGAUGGGAAAGUAAGUUUGUUGUGAAAGACCUCGGCUUAACUGGGGAAUUGCAUCUAAAACUACUUGUCUUGAGUGCAGGAGAGGUAAGUGGAACUCCAAGUGUAGCGGUGAAAUGCGUAGAUAGAAGGAAGAACACCAGUGGCGAAGGCGACUCUCUGGACUGUAACUGACGUUGAGGCUCGAAAGUAUGGGGAGCAAACAGGAUUAGAUACCCGAGUAGUC
rnacentral:rRNA from 1 species